CGGCCGCCGGCCCCGUGGCUGACCUGUUUCGGGCAUCGCAGCUGCCCGCCGAGACGCUGCACCAGAUCACAGAACUGUGUGGUGCAAAGCGAGUUGGUUAUUUUGGUCCAACACAGUUUUACAUUGCCCUGAAAUUAAUUGCUGCAGCACAGUCUGGCCUCCCGGUGCGGAUAGAGAGUAUUAAAUGUGAAUUGCCUCUGCCUCGCUUUAUGAUGUCAAAGAAUGAUGGUGAGAUACGAUUUGGGAACCCAGCUGAGCUGCAUGGAACUAAGGUUCAGAUUCCAUAUUUAACUACAGAAAAAAAUUCCUUCAAAAGAAUGGACGAUGAGGAUAAACAGGUAAACAGUUUGAUCAGAUGUGUUCAUUUGAUUCUGACCACGAAACCGCAUGUAGCAGGGCCUCGUAUCUACUGUUCAGCUUCCAGCAAAUCUCACCAUC
rnacentral:sRNA from 1 species